CGGGCCGGUCAAGUAUAAGCAAAAAUAUACAGUGAAACUGCGAAUGGCUCAUUAAAUCAGUUAUCGUUUAUUUGAUAGUACCUUACUACUUGGAUAACCGUGGUAAUUCUAGAGCUAAUACAUGCUAAAAACCCCGACUUCGGAAGGGGUGUAUUUAUUAGAUAAAAAACCAAUGCCUUCGGGCUCCUUGGUGAUUCAUGAUAACUUAACGAAUCGCAUGGCCUUGUGCCGGCGAUGGUUCAUUCAAAUUUCUGCCCUAUCAACUUUCGAUGGUAGGAUAGUGGCCUACCAUGGUUUCAACGGGUAACGGGGAAUUAGGGUUCUAUUCCGGAGAGGGAGCCUGAGAAACGGCUACCACAUCCAAGGAAGGCAGCAGGCGCGCAAAUUACCCAAUCCCGACACGGGGAGGUAGUGACAAUAAAUACUGAUACAGGGCUCUUUUGGGUCUUGUAAUUGGAAUGAGUACAAUUUAAAUCCCUUAACGAGGAACAAUUGGAGGGCAAGUCUGGUGCCAGCAGCCGCGGUAAUUCCAGCUCCAAUAGCGUAUAUUAAAGUUGUUGCAGUUAAAAAGCUCGUAGUUGAACCUUGGGUCUGGCUGGUCGGUCCUCCUCACCGAGUGUACUGAUCCGGCCGGACCUUUCCUUCUGGCUAGCCGCAUGCCCUUCACUGGGUGUGUCGGGGAACCAGGACUUUUACUUUGAAAAAAUUAGAGUGUUCAAAGCAGGCAUUUGCUCGAAUACAUUAGCAUGGAAUAAUAGAAUAGGACGUGCGGUUCUAUUUUGUUGGUUUCUAGGACCGCCGUAAUGAUUAAUAGGGAUAGUCGGGGGCAUCAGUAUUCAAUUGUCAGAGGUGAAAUUCUUGGAUUUAUUGAAGACUAACUACUGCGAAAGCAUUUGCCAAGGAUGUUUUCAUUAAUCAGUGAACGAAAGUUAGGGGAUCGAAGACGAUCAGAUACCGUCGUACUCUUACCCAUAAACUAUGCCGACUAGGGAUCGUUGGAUGCUUACUAGAUGGCUCCAUCGGCACCUUACGACAAAUCAAAGUCUUUGGGUUCUGGGGGGAGUAUGGUCGCAGGCUGAACCUUAAAGAAAAUUGUAGACGAGA
rnacentral:rRNA from 1 species